rnacentral:rRNA from 1 species
GACGAACGCUUGCGACGUGCCUAAGAAAUGCAAGUCGAACGGGGGGUAACCCUAGUGGCGAACGGUCGCGUAACACGUGGGCAACCUGCCCUGAAGUGGGGGACAACAGUCCGAAAGGGCUGCUAAUACCGCUAUGGUGGAUUGGGAUGGCAUCAUCUCGGAUCCAAGGAUUGUUCGCUUCAGGAUGGGCCCGCGGCCGU